rnacentral:lncRNA from 1 species
UUUCCAACUGCUAAAUGAAAGAGCCUUGAGAAGCACCCUGCGUUUGUAUAUGGCUAUUGAGACACAGACUGAAGUAUUUUGGGGUGAAAGGCCAUAAUAUCUACUUCUUUCAAGUGGUUCAAAGACAACAACAAAAGCAUGUAAAUUGAAAAUGAACUUUAACGAAAAAACAUUUUUCUGAAACUACUCUCCAGAGAAAAGGCAAUGAAAGAGGUCUGAGUUCCAAGGGGAGGAAUGAUUUCACUGAACUGGAAGUUAAAACUGCUGCCCAACCAUGGUGGACUCCUUGUGUCUCUGAAAUAACAGGCGAAGAGGGGAGUUACUGUGCUGGCUGGAGUGACUGAUCCUGACUACAAGGGGAAAUUGCACUGCUACUCCACAAUGGAGAUUCCUGCUCUUGCAGUUGGAAAAGGCCGGGACAGAGAAAGAGGAUUCUGCUAGGGGCAAGACGAAGAGGAGGGUCAGCAAACAUUGCUGCCCAGAGAGAGGACCGAAGCAUCCAGAAGUCCAGUCAGGCAUCUCUCUUCCCCAAGGUCUGCCACCUCAACCCACAGAAGAUGGGCGAACCCGGAGAAGACUGCCAUCUCCAUGCACAGGCGCUCUCAGCACCUGGAUUGAUCCGGACACAUCCUGACAUUUAAAGGUAUGAGCAGAGGAAGACAAGGAAGCAAAGGAAAAAAAAGAGAAAUUUUCAGGAAGAACAGUGUGGUCAGCAAUGACAAAUGUAAGAGAGUGGCUGAAGUUUCUGGUGAAUUGAGCCCUACCAUGCUCCAGGCUCAAGCAAGGUGCAAGGGGCAGAGAAACCGACAAGAGAGAGGAGCUCCGUGUCCCUUUGGGCCUUGCAUGCUACCAUGCUACACACAUAGGUUCCCCAAACGCCGCAUCCCACUCAUCUGACUGAAUACUUACGUCCAAAUUUUACUGGAAUCAAGGC